AAAAACCCAAAGUGAUUUAAUUGAUCCUGAGCUUGUCCUCUGAGUAGGGCAGCUGGCGUGGUUCGGUCCCACCAGGGAAGGCCAAUAUCCUGGUGCUGACCUCCAUGGCCAAUAACCUGGCUUCUCUGAACCAUUUCGGCUUUUGUUUCCUUGAAGACUGAGCGCUUUGGAGACUGAUGAUGUCAUGUGUCAGGCAUGUUGUCAGGCUAAAUGUAGAGCUUUUCCGACUCUGCAGCCUUCCUCAAGCUACUCCCAGGGGAACAGACCACUAGCCACAGUGUUCUUGAAUUCUUCCACACCCUUCCAAGGAUGUUGACCUUCUGCCCAGAGGUUUCACCCGACAGAGAGUUG
rnacentral:lncRNA from 1 species